rnacentral:rRNA from 1 species
ACGGCCUUCGGGUUGUAACCUCUUUCAGCACAGACGAAGCGAAAGUGACGGUAUGUGCAGAAGAAGGACCGGCCAACUACGUGCCAGCAGCCGCGGUAAUACGUAGGGUCCGAGCGUUGUCCGGAAUUAUUGGGCGUAAAGGGCUCGUAGGCGGUUUGUCACGUCGGGAGUGAAAACCAGGUGCUUAACACCUGGCCUGCUUCCGAUACGGGCUGACUAGAGGUAUUCAGGGGAGAAUGGAAUUCCUGGUGUAGCGGUGAAAUGCGCAGAUAUCAGGAGGAACACCGGUGGCGAAGGCGGUUCUCUGGGAAUGACCUGACGCUGAGGAGCGAAAGUGUGGGGAGCGAACAGGAUUAGAUACCCUGGUAGUCCAAGGG